rnacentral:rRNA from 1 species
GACAGAGGGUGCAAACGUUUGUUCGGAAUUACUGGGCGUAAAGCGCGUGUAGGCGGCCAACUAAGUCGGGCGUGAAAUCCCACGGCUCAACCGUGGAAGUGCACUCGAAACUGGAUGGCUAGAGUCCUGGAGAGGAAGGUGGAAUGCUUGGUGUAGAGGUGAAAUUCGUAGAUAUCAAGCGGAACACCGGUGGCGAAGGCGGCCUUCUGGACAGUGACUGACGCUGAGACGCGAAAGCGUGGGGAGCGAACAGG